GGGGGGGGGGGGGGGGGGGGUGGGGGGGGGGGGGGGGAAGGGGGGGGGCGGGGGUGGGUGGGGUGGUCGAGUGGGGAAGGGGUGAGGAACGGGGGGGUAGGCGGGCCUGGGUUUGGGGCUGACUUCAGGAAACUGGGGCUACUAGCGUAUCGGAGCUCCUGCUGUAUGGGGGGGGUUGGAAAGUCUCGGCGGGUGGGGAUGGACUCGCGGCUGAUCAGCUUGUUGGUGGGGUAGUGCGUUACCAAGGCUUUGCCGGGUAGGAGGCCUGCGAGGGUGACCGGCCACAUUGGUCCUGAGAUACGGCCCAGACUCCUACGGGAGGCAGCAGUGGGGAAUAUUGUACAAUGGGCGGAAGCCUGAUGCAGCAACGCCGCGGGCGGGAUGACGGCCUUCGGGUUGUAAACCGCUUUCGCCUGUGACGAAGCGUGAGUGACGGUAAUGGGUAAAGAAGCACCGGCUAACUACGUG
rnacentral:rRNA from 1 species